AGAGUUAAACAGUACGUGAAAUUGCUAAAAGGGAAACGUUUGAAAUCAGUGUAUGUCAUGGGGAAAUCAGCCGUUCAGUGUCAAAGCUGGACGGUGCACUUUUCUCAGGGCUGGUUAACAUCAGUUUGUUGGGCAGUGUAGAACAUUUGGGGAAGGUAGCUGCUUGCAGUGUUAUAGCCCCAAGAAAUGCACUGUCCCAGACUGAGGACUGCAGCAUAGGCCGUAAGGCAGGACUACCAGGUGGCUGUUGGAAAAGUGGUGGAGAACAGCUUGCUGAUCUUUAUUACUGGACUGGCACUCAUUCGACUAGUCACUACUAUGCUAAGGAUGCUGACGUAAUGGCUUUAAACGACC
rnacentral:sRNA from 1 species